rnacentral:rRNA from 1 species
AUUGAACGCUGGCGGCAGGCCUAACACAUGCAAGUCGAACGAGUGGCGGACGGGUGAGUAAUGUCUGGGAAACUGCCCGAUGGAGGGGGAUAACUACUGGAAACGGUAGCUAAUACCGCAUACCAUCGGAUGUGCCCAGCGGGGAUUAGCGUGUAGGUGCGGUAACGGGUCACCUUGGCGACGAUCCCUAGCUGGUCUGCGGGGAUGACCAGCAACACGGGAACAGAGAGACGGACCAAAGUCCUAGGGGAGGCAGAAGUGGGGAAUAUUGGAAAAUGGGCGCAAGCCUGAUGGAGCCAUGCCGCGUGUAUGAAGAAGGCAUGCAGGUUUUAAAGUACUUUCAGCGGGGAGGCGUUACCCGCAGAAGAAGCGCCGGCUAACUACGUGCCAGCAGCCGCGGUAAUUC